rnacentral:tRNA from 1 species
GCGCGGUUAGCUCAGCUGGAUAGAGUAUCGGCCUCCGAAGCCGAGGGUCACUGGUUCGAAUCCAGUACCGCGCACCA